UCUUCAUUCAUAAUGAAGAAACAUCCAAUGAUGGAUUAGAUUCAUAAUCUAAUACAUUUACGCUUCCCUUACGUUACUCUAAUUCUUCCUCAUUCUUUGAGGAAUUUAUCCUUUAGUAUUUCUUAAAUACUUAAGGACUCACUUGACAGUUGCCAUGGUUCUGAUCCUGGGCUUGCACUGAUAUCAUCUUGUACCGUUCUAGGUACAACUCAUAUCAAUGUUUUUCAUACAAUAUGAAAUACAUAAAUCACCUUUCUGCAUAUGCAUAAAGGAUUCAAUUUACGCAUUAUUUCUUUGGGAGUCAAAGGGGCACGUUCCCUUUGAGAAGGGCAACUUACUAGUCUCACUAGAAUCGUCCUUCUAUUGAAGUUUAUCAUCAUAUAAGAAACUUCCUAGCAUCCAUUGUCUAUUAUUAGGGAUUGAUAUAAUCCAAUUAUAUCAUGAAAUAUAUCA
rnacentral:lncRNA from 1 species